rnacentral:rRNA from 1 species
CCGAGCACGCGCGUGUGGCAUAUCAAUAAGCGGAGGAAAAGAAACUAACAAGGAUUCCCUUAGUAACGGCGAGUGAAGCGGGAAGAGCUCAAAUUUGAAAUCUUCAAGGUUCUACCUUGACGAAUUGUAGUUUAUAGAAGUGUUUUCUGUUAGUGGAGUGGCAAAAGUUCUUUGGAAUAGGACAUCAUAGAGGGUGAGAAUCCCGUAUUUGGUCAUUCCUCCUAGCGUUGUGAUACACUUUCAACGAGUCGGAUUGUUUGGGAAUGCAGUCCAAAAUGGGUGGUAAAUUUCAUCUAAAGCUAAAUAUUGGCGAGAGACCGAUAGCGAACAAGUACCGUGAGGGAAAGAUGAAAAGAACUUUGAAAAGAGAGUUAAACAGUACGUGAGAUUGUCAAAAGGGAAGCGUUUGACACCAGUGUUGUUUUUCCGAAAAUCAAUUACGAAUGUUUUAUUUUUGAGGAGUUAUGACUUCAUCGGCUUGCUCCUUUCUUUAUGAAACUUUCUUAAUGCACUUUUCGGUUAACAAGUCAACAUCAAUUUCUUUUGUUGUAAAAGGGUAUGAGGAAGGUGGCUUUCUUUUCGGAGAAAGUGUUUAUAGCCUUGUGCCUCUGCAAUCGGAGAGAUUGAGGUCUGCAGCGUAGAUCCUUCGGGGUUAGAUACAGUUUGUGCUAAGUUAUAGCUUUUCAUAGACAACUUGUUGACUAUGUUUAGUCUUGUAGCUUACUCGCUGAUGCUAUUUUACCUACGCUUAGGAUGUUGAGUAGCGACAUACGCAC